CAUCAACACCAUGUCCUUCCAGUCCGAGUAUCUCAAAAUCGACCGUAAUGACCCAGAUGGAGUUGCAGGUUUCCCACUUUCUUCAGUGACUACUGUCUGAGUUUCGACUAUGAAAAAUUGUGUAGACAAUCCAUACUACAUGUUUAUAUGGACAACAUAAUAGCCCUGGAGCCAAUUUACUAUUACUAUACCGAGCUAGGGACAAUCGUUUUAGCUGAUGUCAUGGCUUACAGUUAAUGCAUCCAGGGAUGUAACAAUCCUAUUGUGAUCUGUUAGUAUUAAAUCAGAUCAGCAUCAAGAUUGCCAUAUUAUUGUGCCUUUGAAAGUAACUUUAUCAUUAGAAUGCUUAAAUUAUUGUAGUAACAUUGACUUGGUCAUGAGGUCUGGGCUACAUGUCAAUUCAUUUCUGCCUUAUUAUAUUGUGAGAUACAGUUUCCUGUCUCUCUUGGUGUUUUUUUUUCCCAUUUCAAGUAGGAGAUACACUCAGUA